CGGCUGCUGCAGCAGUCAUGGCGACCACCGGCAGCCCCCCGCGUUUUCCAGCCAAGCCCUGCCCGAGGAUUGGACGCGCCUCUUCUCCCCCCCCCCGCUCCCCAGGGAUUUUUUUUUUAAGGGAUGAGCUGUUGGCUCUUGGAACAAGCAAAAUUGUCAGCUGGAAGAACAUUUGAAUCCAUCCUGCCAUCUCCAGGCAGCCUGGUGUCAACUUGAUGAUCAGCAUAAAAUAGAAGCCGAAAUCACAUUGAUGCAGCUAAGGGCAAAGCUAACACACUGAAGUUCAUAGUUGUAAUAGUUUUACUGGAAAUUAAUCUGCCUUGUGUCCUCCUUGCAAAAGCUGAUAGUACCAUGAUUUAUUGUGGUAAUCUCUCAAAUAAAAAAAAAUGCUAUACUAGUACACUUACCUGAGGUCUACUAAAGUAGAAGAAGCUUAAGAACAUACCGUAUAUAACUCUCCAAAGCUUGGGGUCUUCACUCUCCAAAAUGAGCCAUCCAAUUGUUCCAAAGGUGCUGUUUCAAAAGGCAAUUGGACUUCAUUUUUUCUUGAAGAUGUUUUGCUUCUCAUCCAAGAAGCAUCCUCCGCUCUGACUGAAUGCUGGGCAAUGGAAGGAUUUGUAUUUUUUGCAAUCAUUUAGUUGUUAGCACUCUGAAGGUUACCACCUAUAGACAGAAUCUUGCCAGAAUAAGCACUCUACUCUCUACAUCUACCAUACAUUCUGUGAAAUAUUAGGGAGGGGCUGUCUUCACUCUUUCCCUCACACAAAAUACAGGUAGUCCUUGACUUAUGACC